rnacentral:rRNA from 1 species
AACGAACGCUGGCGGCAGGCUUAACACAUGCAAGUCGAACGGAUGUAGCAAUACAUCAGUGGCAGACGGGUGAGUAACACGUGGGAACCUUCCUAGGGGUACGGAACAACUCAGGGAAACUUGAGCUAAUACCGUAUACGUCCGUGAGGAGAAAGAUUUAUCGCCCUUAGACGGGCCCGCGUCGGAUUAGCUAGUUGGUGGGGUAACGGCCUACCAAGGCGACGAUCCGUAGCUGAUCUUAGAGGAUGAUCAGCCACACUGGGACUGAGACACGGCCCAGACUCCUACGGGAGGCAGCAGUGGGGAAUCUUGGACAAUGGGCGCAAGCCUGAUCCAGCCAUGCCGCGUGAGUGAAGAAGGUCUUCGGAUUGUAGAGCUCUUUUGCCAGGGACGAUAAUGACGGUACCUGGAGAAUAAGCCCCGGCUAACUUCGUGCCAGCCGCCGCAGUAACAC